AGCAGCCGCGGUAAUUCCAGCUCCAAUAGCGUAUAUUAAAGUUGUUGCAGUUAAAAAGCUCGUAGUUGAAUUUCGAGACCGGUUUACUGGUCGUGCUUUUGUACGUACUGGUAUUAUUGGUUUCUCCUUUCUGACGAAUCAUAAUGCCAUUAAUUUGGUGUUUUGGGGAAUCAGGACUGUUACUUUGAAAAAAUUAGAGUGUUUAAAGCAGGCUCACGCUUGAAUACAUUAGCAUGGAAUAACGAAAUAGGACGUUUGAUUUUAUUUUGUUGGUUUCUAGGAUCGACGUAAUGAUUAAUAGGGAUAGUUGGGGGCAUUAGUAUUCAAUUGUCAGAGGUGAAAUUUUUGGAUUUAUUGAAUUUGCCAAGGAUGUUUUCAUUAAUCAAGAACGAAAGUUAGGGGAUCGAAGACGAUCAGAUACCGUCGUAGUCUUAACCAUAAACUAUGCCGACUAGGGAUCGGAUGAUGUUAAUUUUUUAAUGACUCA
rnacentral:rRNA from 1 species